rnacentral:rRNA from 1 species
AGGACGAACGCUGGCGGCGUGCUUAACACAUGCAAGUCGCUGGGGGUGAGCAAUCACUCACCGGCGAACGGGUGCGUAACACGUGAGCGACCUGCCCACUUGUGGGGUAUAGCCGGCCCAACGGCCGGGUAAUCCCGCAUACGCUUCUCUGGCUGCAUGGCCGGGGGAGGAAAGCCGUAAGGCGCAAGUGGAGGGGCUCGGCGGCCUAUCAGCUAGUUGGCGGGUAACGGCCACCAAGGCGAUGACGGGUAGC